CCUACGGGAGGCAGCAGUGGGGAAUAUUGCGCAAUGGGCGAAAGCCUGACGCAGCGACGCCGCGUGAGUGAUGAAGGUCUUCGGAUCGUAAACCUCUGUCAGCAGGGAAGAACGGUCACUGUGCUAAUCAGCAGUCAAUUGACGGUACCUGCAAAGGAAGCACCGGCUAACUCCGUGCCAGCAGCCGCGGUAAUACGGAGGGUGCGAGCGUUAAUCGGAAUUACUGGGCGUAAAGCGCUCGUAGGCGGUAUGUCAAGUCAAGGGUGAAAUCCCCGGGCUCAACGUGGGAACUGCAUGUGAAAAUGGCAAACUGGAGUGUGUGAGAGGAGAGUGGAAUUCCAGGUGUAGGAGUGAAAUGCGUAGAUAUAUGGAGGAACAUCAGUGGCGAAGGCGACCAUCUGGAACAUAACUGACGCUGAGGAGCGAAAGCGUGGGUAGCAAACAGGAUUAGAUACCCGUGUAGUC
rnacentral:rRNA from 1 species